rnacentral:misc_RNA from 1 species
UCCGGUUUGUCACCGGCAGUCCCAUUAGAGUGCCCAACUGAAUGUGGCAACUAAUGGCAAGGGUUGCGCUCGUUGCGGGACUUAACCCAACAUCUCACGACACGAGCUGACGACAGCCAUGCAGCACCUGUGCUGGCGCUCCGAAGAGGGGCCGAUGUUUCCACCGGCUUUACCCUGCAUGUCAAGCCCAGGUAAGGUUCUUCGCGUCGCAUCGAAUUAAACCACAUACUCCACCGCUUGUGCGGGCCCCCGUCAAUUCCUUUGAGUUUCAGCCUUGCGGCCGUACUCCCCAGGCGGGGCACUUAAUGCGUUAGCGGCGACACUCAGGGGGUCGCUCCCCCAAGCAUCUAGUGCCCAUCGUUUACGGCGUGGACUAC